rnacentral:rRNA from 1 species
GACGAACGCUGGCGGCAUGCCUAAUACAUGCAAGUCGAGCGAACAGAUGAAGUGCUUGCACUUCUGACGUUAGCGGCGAACGGGUGAGUAACACGUAAGGAAUCUACCUAUAAGCGGGGGAUAACAUUCGGAAACGGGUGCUAAUACCGCAUAAUAUCUUCUUCCGCAUGGAAGAAGAUUGAAAGACGGCUCUGCUGUCACUUAUAGAUGACCUUGCGGUGCAUUAGUUAGUUGGUGGGGUAACGGCCUACCAAGACGAUGAUGCAUAGCCGACCUGAGAGGGUGAUCGGCCACAUUGGGACUGAGACACGGCCCAAACUCCUACGGGAGGCAGCAGUAGGGAAUCUUCCGCAAUGGGCGAAAGCCUGACGGAGCAAUGCCGCGUGAGUGAAGAAGGCCUUCGGGUCGUAAAACUCUGUUAUAAGAGAAGAACAAAUUGUAGAGUAACUGCUACAGUCUUGACGGUAUCUUACCAGAAAGCCACGGCUAACUACGUG